GACGAACGCUGGCGGCGUGCCUAACACAUGCAAGUCGAACGGUUUUACUUCUUCGGGAGUAAGAUAGUGGCGGACGGGUGAGUAACACGUGGGUAACCUGCCAUAUACAGGGGGAUAGCCACCCGAAAGGGUGAUUAAUACCGCAUGAUUCUCAUCUGAGGCAUCUCAGAUGAGACAAAGGAGUCUAACACCGCAAGGUGUUAGCAUCCGGUAUAUGAUGGACCCGCGGCCCAUUAGAUAGUUGGUGAGGUAGAGGCUCACCAAGUCAACGAUGGGUAGCCGAUCUGAGAGGAUGAACGGCCACAUUGGAACUGAGAAACGGUCCAGACUCCUACGGGAGGCAGCAGUGGGGAAUAUUGCGCAAUGGGGGGAACCCUGACGCAGCAACGCCGCGUGAGUGAAGAAGGCCUUCGGGUCGUAAAGCUCUGUCAUUGGGGACGAGAAAAGACGGUACCCAAGGAGGAAGCCACGGCUAACUACGUGCCAGCAGCCGCGGUAAUACGUAUGUGGCGAGCGUUGUCCGGAAUUACUGGGCGUAAAGGGUGCGUAGGCGGGAUAUUAAGUUAUAUGUGAAAACCCUGAGCUUAACUUGGGGACUGCAUUUAAAACUGGUAACCUAUAGUGCAGGAGAUGUAAGCGGAAUUCCUAGUGUAGCGGUGAAAUUGCGUAGAUAUUAGGAAGAACAUUCAGUGGCGAAGGCGGUUACUGGACUGUAACUGACGCUGAUGCAAGAAAGCGUGGGGAGCAAACAGGAUUAGAUACCCUGGUAGUCCACGCUGUAAACCGAUGAGUGCUAGGUGUAGGGGGCUAACCCCACUGUGCCGCAGUAAACGCAAUAAAGCACUCCGCCUGGGGAGUACGGUCGCAAGACUAAAACUCAAAGGAAUUGACGGGGGCCCGCACAAGCAGCGGAGCAUGUGGUUUAAUUCGAAGCAACGCGAAGAACCUUACCAGGUCUUGACAUCGUCUGCAUAGCUAAGAGAUUAGUGAAACCCUUCGGGGCAGAUAGACAGGUGGUGCAUGGUUGUCGUCAGCUCGUGUCGUGAGAUGUUGGGUUAAGUCCCGCAACGAGCGCAACCCUUGUUGUUAGUUGCUAACGCGUAAAGGUGAGCACUCUAAUGAGACUGCCAUGGAGAACAUGGAGGAAGGUGGGGAUGACGUCAAAUCAUCAUGCCCCUUAUGACCUGGGCAACACACGUGCUACAAUGGCUGAAACAGAGAGAAGCGAAACUGAAAGGUGGAGCAAAACUUAGAAAAACAGUCCCAGUUCGGAUUGCCGGCUGCAACUCGCCGGCAUGAAGCUGGAGUUGCUAGUAAUCGCGAAUCAGAAUGUCGCGGUGAAUACGUUCCCGGGCCUUGUACACACCGCCCGUCACACCAUGAGAGUCAGCAACACCCGAAGCCUGUGAGAUAACUGGAAACAGAGUCAGCAGUCGAAGGUGGGGCGGAUGAUUGGGGUG
rnacentral:rRNA from 1 species